CCUACGGGCGGCUGCAGUAGGGAAUAUUGCUCAAUGGGCGAAACCCUGAAGCAGCAACGCCGCGUGAAGGAUGAAGGUCUUCGGAUUGUUAACUCCUUUUGUUAGAGAAGAUAAUGACGGUAUCUAACGAAUAAGCACCGGCUAACUCCGUGCCAGAAGCCGCGGGAAUACGGCGGGUGCAAGCGUUACUCGGAAUCACUGGGCGUAAAGAGCGCGUAGGCGGGAUAGCAGGUCAGAUGUGAAAACCGAUGGCUUAACCAUAGAAGUGCAUUUGAAACUGUUAUUCUAGAGUAUGGGAGAGGUAGGUGGAAUUCGUGGUGUAGCGGUAAAAUGCGUAGAGAUCAAGAAGAACACCCAUUGCGAAGGCGACCUGCUAGAACAUAACUGACGCUGAUGCGCGAAAGCGUGGGGAGAAAACAGGAUUAGAUACCCCUGUAGUC
rnacentral:rRNA from 1 species